rnacentral:rRNA from 1 species
GAUUAAGUUAUUAAGGGCGCACGGUGGAUGCCUUGGCACUAGAAGCCGAUGAAGGACGUUACUAACGACGAUAUGCUUUGGGGAGCUGUAAGUAAGCUUUGAUCCAGAGAUUUCCGAAUGGGGAAACCCAGCAUGAGUUAUGUCAUGUUAUCGAUAUGUGAAUACAUAGCAUAUCAGAAGGCACACCCGGAGAACUGAAACAUCUUAGUACCCGGAGGAAGAGAAAGAAAAUUCGAUUCCCUUAGUAGCGGCGAGCGAAACGGGAAGAGCCCAAACCAAAAAGCUUGCUUGUUGGGGUUGUAGGACACUCUAUACGGAGUUACAAAGGACGACAUUAGACGAAUCAUCUGGAAAGAUGAAUCAAAGAAGGUAAUAAUCCUGUAGUCGAAAAUGUUGUCUCUCUUGAGUGGAUCCUGAGUACGACGGAGCACGUGAAAUUCCGUCGGAAUCUGGGAGGACCAUCUCCUAAGGCUAAAUACUCUCUAGUGACCGAUAGUGAACCAGUACCGUGAGGGAAAGGUGAAAAGCACCCCGGAAGGGGAGUGAAAUAGAACCUGAAACCGUGUGCUUACAAGUAGUCAGAGCCCGUUAAUGGGUGAUGGCGUGCCUUUUGUAGAAUGAACCGGCGAGUUACGAUUUGAUGCAAGGUUAAGCAGUAAAUGUGGAGCCGUAGCGAAAGCGAGUCUGAAUAGGGCGUUUAGUAUUUGGUCGUAGACCCGAAACCAGGUGAUCUACCCUUGGUCAGGUUGAAGUUCAGGUAACACUGAAUGGAGGACCGAACCGACUUACGUUGAAAAGUGAGCGGAUGAACUGAGGGUAGCGGAGAAAUUCCAAUCGAACCUGGAGAUAGCUGGUUCUCUCCGAAAUAGCUUUAGGGCUAGCCUCAAGUGAUGAUUAUUGGAGGUAGAGCACUGUUUGGACGAGGGGCCCCUCUCGGGUUACCGAAUUCAGACAAACUCCGAAUGCCAAUUAAUUUAACUUGGGAGUCAGAACAUGGGUGAUAAGGUCCGUGUUCGAAAGGGAAACAGCCCAGACCACCAGCUAAGGUCCCAAAAUAUAUGUUAAGUGGAAAAGGAUGUGGCGUUGCCCAGACAACUAGGAUGUUGGCUUAGAAGCAGCCAUCAUUUAAAGAGUGCGUAAUAGCUCACUAGUCGAGUGACACUGCGCCGAAAAUGUACCGGGGCUAAACAUAUUACCGAAGCUGUGGAUUGUCCUUUGGACAAUGGUAGGAGAGCGUUCUAAGGGCGUUGAAGCAUGAUCGUAAGGACAUGUGGAGCGCUUAGAAGUGAGAAUGCCGGUGUGAGUAGCGAAAGACGGGUGAGAAUCCCGUCCACCGAUUGACUAAGGUUUCCAGAGGAAGGCUCGUCCGCUCUGGGUUAGUCGGGUCCUAAGCUGAGGCCGACAGGCGUAGGCGAUGGAUAACAGGUUGAUAUUCCUGUACCACCUAUAAUCGUUUUAAUCGAUGGGGGGACGCAGUAGGAUAGGCGAAGCGUGCGAUUGGAUUGCACGUCUAAGCAGUAAGGCUGAGUAUUAGGCAAAUCCGGUACUCGUUAAGGCUGAGCUGUGAUGGGGAGAAGACAUUGAGUCUUCGAGUCGUUGAUUUCACACUGCCGAGAAAAGCCUCUAGAUAGAAAAUAGGUGCCCGUACCGCAAACCGACACAGGUAGUCAAGAUGAGAAUUCUAAGGUGAGCGAGCGAACUCUCGUUAAGGAACUCGGCAAAAUGACCCCGUAACUUCGGGAGAAGGGGUGCUCUUUAGGGUUAACGCCCAGAAGAGCCGCAGUGAAUAGGCCCAAGCGACUGUUUAUCAAAAACACAGGUCUCUGCUAAACCGUAAGGUGAUGUAUAGGGGCUGACGCCUGCCCGGUGCUGGAAGGUUAAGAGGAGUGGUUAGCUUCUGCGAAGCUACGAAUCGAAGCCCCAGUAAACGGCGGCCGUAACUAUAACGGUCCUAAGGUAGCGAAAUUCCUUGUCGGGUAAGUUCCGACCCGCACGAAAGGCGUAACGAUUUGGGCACUGUCUCAACGAGAGACUCGGUGAAAUCAUAGUACCUGUGAAGAUGCAGGUUACCCGCGACAGGACGGAAAGACCCCGUGGAGCUUUACUGUAGCCUGAUAUUGAAAUUCGGCACAGCUUGUACAGGAUAGGUAGGAGCCUUUGAAACGUGAGCGCUAGCUUACGUGGAGGCGCUGGUGGGAUACUACCCUAGCUGUGUUGGCUUUCUAACCCGCACCACUUAUCGUGGUGGGAGACAGUGUCAGGCGGGCAGUUUGACUGGGGCGGUCGCCUCCUAAAAGAUAACGGAGGCGCUCAAAGGUUCCCUCAGAAUGGUUGGAAAUCAUUCAUAGAGUGUAAAGGCAUAAGGGAGCUUGACUGCGAGACCUACAAGUCGAGCAGGGUCGAAAGACGGACUUAGUGAUCCGGUGGUUCCGCAUGGAAGGGCCAUCGCUCAACGGAUAAAAGCUACCCCGGGGAUAACAGGCUUAUCUCCCCCAAGAGUUCACAUCGACGGGGAGGUUUGGCACCUCGAUGUCGGCUCAUCGCAUCCUGGGGCUGUAGUCGGUCCCAAGGGUUGGGCUGUUCGCCCAUUAAAGCGGUACGCGAGCUGGGUUCAGAACGUCGUGAGACAGUUCGGUCCCUAUCCGUCGUGGGCGUAGGAAAUUUGAGAGGAGCUGUCCUUAGUACGAGAGGACCGGGAUGGACAUACCUCUGGUGUACCAGUUGUCGUGCCAACGGCAUAGCUGGGUAGCUAUGUGUGGACGGGAUAAGUGCUGAAAGCAUCUAAGCAUGAAGCCCCCCUCAAGAUGAGAUUUCCCAACUUCGGUUAUAAGAUCCCUCAAAGAUGAUGAGGUUAAUAGGUUCGAGGUGGAAGCAUGGUGACAUGUGGAGCUGACGAAUACUAAUCGAUCGAAGACUUAAUCAA